AGAGUGCCUCCCCCCCCCCCCCCCGAGGCACUGAUGUCCAGCUGCUUCUCUUGGGGCUGCCUGCACUCACGUUGGAAGAUGAUCAGAGCUCGGAGGAGGGCACCAAGCUCCAUGGCCAGGACGGUCCUCAGGCUGCUGGGCCAGCACAGGAUGAGGGACAAGGCAUGAGCAGGGAGCAGAGGGCAGACCCUGGGAGCCUAGCCCUCUCUGAUCCUGAGAGUAUCCAGGGAAGGAGAAAAUCCAGGCCCACCAAGAGGAAUCUAGAGGUGUCAUUACUUGGGAAAGGUAAGUGGGGGGUAGGGAGAGCAUGUCAUUAGGGACCUGAUGGGCACAGUGGGCACAUGGCGAGGAGGUAGGCUUCCAGAAGGACCCAGCAGGAGCACUGAUUGAGUCAUGAGGCCCCCAAGGGUUCACAUCUCACCUUCCUCACUGACUAACUACAUGACUUUGUUCCAGUCACAACCUCUUGGCCUUAGCUUCCUAAGGCAUCCUAAAAAGGAUGGAAUUAGACCAGCUGACUUCUAAGGUACUUUCUCAUCCUGUAUCCUCCCCAUCUAUGAAUUAGCGUCCAGCAAUCCCCAGGUUCUGACCUGAUCUCCAGGGAAGCUUUUUAGAAUCCUCCUGAGCGGGCCCAGAUCUCAGAGCUUAGGGUUCUUUCUCCAGGAAUCUUCUUUGGAAUGGAAGGAGUAGAAAGCCUCUCUUCUCAGGGGAGCUUGAACAGCAUCCAGCCUCCAGGAGCCCUUCUCCCCACCCUGUGCCUCCGAGGACCAGCCUUGCUCAGAACUUGUCACCCAAGUUGUUGGACAGUGGCUUAGCUGCCCUGCCUGACCUGAGGAUCAGGCCCGCGGACUGACUGUGCUGGUGGACGCCUAAUGCUGCCUGCCCUACUCCAGGCUCUUCCAGGGGCUUCUCCAGAUGCAGGCUCUUCUCUCCUUCAUCCCUACCUCCCAGCUGCCCUUCACUCUGGGGGGCCGUCUCCACUACAACCACGAUGCUUGGCUGGGUUUCCAAAAGCUGCUGGAAGCCUUGCAGGAGAGCUACCUGGAGGCCCUUGCCCUGCUCCACAGGGCCAUCCAGAACCUAAAAGGAGAUCCCAGGCCGGGGACUGCUGGGGUGAGUGUGCAUGGUGGCUCCCGGGGGUGGUCACAUCACCCCCUUGCCCCCCACCCCCUCUGUGGCACUGCCUUCUUGCUCUGCUCAUCUCUGUGGUGUCUGUGCCCAUCCUCGGGGACUGACGCAGCUGUUGUGGGACCCACGGGAGCUGAUGGAGCGUGUGCUGGUAUACCCUCUGCUGCUGUGGUUGCAGCGGGAAGGUGGCAUGGCCCUGGCAGAGCUCCAGAGGGAGGAGCCGGGUGGCAUGCAGAGCUCGGACCACAGGUGGGCAUUGUGGAGAGGCCUCAGGGUGGUGGAACUUCCCAUCCCAUGGUGCCCCGCUCAAGAGGGACAAUUGUUUCUCAUGCCAGGCUGGCGGUGGAGGAGGUGGGGAAGCUGUACGCCCAGGCGGAUGGGAUGCUGCAUGAGCUGGUCACUUGUGCAACCAACGGAUAUGGACACGAGUUGGAAAAGAUGCUGAAGGCCCAGACAAAACCGCUGGCCGAGAUUGAGACGUGGCUGCAGAACGUCGGCUGGCCGGGGCUGACGGUGCCGAAGGACCCUUUGCUGAACAUGCUGCUUCAGGCCCAGGAUGCCUUCUUCAGGCUUGACUGGGCUUCCCAGGUGGGCUCGGGUCAGAGGAGAGCAGGAUACAGGAUUCUUUUUUGUGGGGCAGAAUGGAGGGCAUGCAGGCAGAGGCCAGCCCAGGCUUGGUGGUGGUGGGUGGGGUAGUGUGGGUAGUUCUAUAUCAAGGGAUCCUAGGACCUCAGGAACCUUAUUGAUCCACUCUCCCAUUCCAUAGAUUACAAGACCAAGGCCCAGAAGCCAUCCUGGGGUAGCAGCAGGGGAGCAAGGCUGGCAGAAGGCAGGAGGGGCAGAGGGCAUCCCAGGUCUAGGGUGGGUUUGAC
rnacentral:lncRNA from 1 species